CACAGAGGAGCCCCCCUGCUGGCCCCUGGCCACAGGGGCCACCCUUGCUAUGGCCCCUGGCUCCGGAGGGCCCGGGUUCGGUGGUUCCAGCGCUGGUGGAGGUGGAGGUGGAGGCGGGGACGUACGCAGCCCGUCGCUCUCCAGUGACGAGCAGAGCUCCGAGGCCAGCCUGGUCACUGACGCCUCAAGCGGAGGAGGAGGGAGUGGGGGAGGAGGAGGAGUUGGGAGUGGGAGUCCUCUGAGCGCCGAGACCCCCGAUAACCUGACCCUCACCCUGCUGGACAGCGUGGCGGGAAAACGUUACGGGCACUGUACAGAGACCCUGUUGGAUGACUUCAUGUUGACCCAUCCCAUCUUCCUCACAGCCGACCGGCUCCAGCAAGUCCUACUACAGCAAUUCUCCCUGGAGACGGAGGGCA
ensembl:lncRNA